GAUGAACGCUGUCUACAGGCUUAACACAUGCAAGUCGAGGGGAAACGACGGGGAAGCUUGCUUCCCCGGGCGUCGACCGGCGCACGGGUGAGUAACGCGUAUCCAACCUGCCUCUGACUGAGGGAUAACCCGUCGAAAGUCGGCCUAAUACCUCAUGGCAUCGUCUGCGGGCAUCCAACGACGAUUAAAGAUUUCAUCGGUCAGGGAUGGGGAUGCGUCUGAUUAGCUUGUUGGCGGGGUAACGGCCCACCAAGGCUACGAUCAGUAGGGGUUCUGAGAGGAAGGUCCCCCACAUUGGAACUGAGACACGGUCCAAACUCCUACGGGAGGCAGCAGCGAGGAAUAUUGGUCAAUGGGCGGGAGCCUGAACCAGCCAAGUAGCGUGCAGGAUGACGGCCCUAUGGGUUGCAAACUGCUUUUAUGCGGGGAUAAAGUGAGGGACGUGUCCUUCAUUGCAGGUACCGCAUGAAUAAGGACCGGCUAAUUCCGUG
rnacentral:rRNA from 1 species